rnacentral:tRNA from 1 species
GAGAGAGGCUCGCUAGCAACGAAGACUGCUAAUUUUCACGACCUUGGUUGAACCCCAAGGCUCUGCUCG